AGAAUUUCCAUCUGAUUCAUGGUCUGAGUUGCACACUCAGUCACUUUUUUUGCAAUGACAAUGUUUAAGGACACUUUUUUUUUUUUUUUAAAAGGAAGAAUAUCCAGCAUUUCCUCAAAAUAACACAUCAUCAGCAUAGACUCUGGACCUGAAGAACCAACCACCAUGUGGGGUAAGGUUAUUUCUAGAAUUUUAGGAGGUCCCUCAUGUUCUUCCCAUGACUCCCACUCCACAGGUAAUUCCUAUUGUGACCUCUAUCAUGGUAGUUUGGUUUAAUGAAAUCAUAGAGUUAGUAUUCUUCUGAUUUUUUUUUCAUUUGGCCUAAUGAUUUUGAUGUUCUUCGUCAUGUUCUCAUUUAGUGAGAAUUUGUUGCUGAGUAAGUAGUUCAUGAUAUGGAUAUGUAUCCUUUAAUUGGAUUAAUUCAUUCUACUCUUUUUUCUUUUGUAUUUAUUUAUUUAUGGGGCUGGGGAUCCAACCCAGGGUCUCACACAUGCUGGAUAAGUGCUCUACCAACUGAACUAUAUCCCAAGACCUCUUCUGUUUUGAAAUUUUUUUUUUUUUUUUUUUUUUAAUUAGAGUAUAGCUUGAUGUAGUGGCAUGUACCUGUAGUCCAAGCUACUCAGGAGGCUGAGGCGGAAGGAUUGCUGGAGCCCAGUGUUUCAAGGCUGGCCUGGGCAACAUAGACAUAUCUCAAAGAAAGCAAAUAUUUAAAAAAAAGGAAGAGGAGGAGGAGAAGGAGGGGAAAGAGAAUAGGGAGGAGGAGUGGGGAGGAGAAGGAGGAGGAAACACAAACACACACAUACACUCCCUGUCUUUUGCCAUGUGAUGCCCAGCACUGCCUCAGGACUCUGCUAAUAAGAAGACUAUCACCAGAUGUGGCCACUGACCUUGGACCAGAACCAUGAACAAAAUAAACUUAAAAAAAAAAAAAAGAAAAAAAAAUUAGCUGGGCACAGUGGCAUACUCCAUAAUCAGUAAUCACAGUGAUUUGGGAGGCUGAGACAGGACAAUGGGCAGUUUGAGGCUACCCUUGGCAAUUUAGGGAUGAGUUUGUUACAAAAUGAAAAAUAAAAAGAGUUGAAAUGUAGCUCAGAGGUAGAGAACAUCUAGGUUCAAUUCCCAGUACUGGGGGAAAAAAAAGUGAUUAAUAUAUAGUAAAAUUCACCCUUUUGAGCAUAUAGUUCUGUGAGGUUUGUUUUUGUAUUUUUGUUUGUUUGGUAGUGGGGAUUAAACCCAGAGGUGAUUUACCACUGAGCUACAUCUGCAGUCCUUUUUAUUUGAUUUUGAAACGAGAUUUUGCUAAGUUGCUUAGAGCCUUGCUAAAUUGCUGAGGCUGGCCUCAAACUUGUGAUCCUCUUGCCUCAGCCUCCUGAGUCAUAGGGAUUACAGGUGUGUGCCACUGUGCCCAGAUAGUUCUGUAAGUUUUGACCAGUCCAUACAGUUCUGUAUUCACUACCACAAUCAGGAUAUACAGAACACAGUGGGGCACUCCUGUAAUCCCAGCAAUUUGGGUGGCUGAGGCAGAAGGAUCCUUGGCAACUUAGUGAGGAUCCUUGUCUCAAAACUAAAAAUAAAAAGCCCUGCAGAUGUAGAACGCCCCAGUACUUGGGGGAGGAAAAAAAAAGAUAUGGAACAUAUUCAUCCUACCCUAUUGGAAAUUGAAAAUAGUGCCGGGAGCAUACCAAGAAGUACAGGGUGUUCAGCUUCAGUACUUUCCACACAGUUCUCCAAGGUCCUUACACCAACUCACCUUCCCACCAACAAUGUCUAGGAAUCUUGUUCCACAUUCUUGUCAAAAUUGGCAAAUUGUAGCUGGGCACAGUGGUGCAUGCCUAUAAUCCCAGCGACCUGGGAAGCUGAGGUAGGAUGAUCACAAGUUCAAAGCCAGCCUCAGCAACCUAGUAAGGCUCUAAGCAACUUAGCAAGACCCUGUUUCAAAAUAAAAAAUUAAAAUGGGCUGGGAAUGUGGCUCAGUGGUUAAAUGUUCCUGGUUUCAAUCCCUGGUACCAAAUUUUUUUAAAAACAAAUUUUAAAAAGAAAGAAAAAAAUUUUAAAAUUGGCAAAUUGUAAUUUCUAUCUCUUAACAGAGAAUGUGGAUUCUGUAUAUAGCAAAGAACUCUGGCAAAUGUUGAGUGCUGAACCCAUAUACUAUCAUGUGGCCUCAGCAGGUGUUUGAGUGAUGCAGAUUCAGUCUUUUUCUGACUCCUAUAUUGAAAAAUGAGACAAUAUUUGCCGUAGUCUUGAUUUUUUUUUUUUUUGGAAGAUACUGAGGAUGGAAUCCAAGGGUGCUCUAUCUCUGAGUGACAUUCCAAGCCCCCUUUUUAUUUUUUUAAGACAGAGUCUCACUAAAUUUCUGAAGUUAGCCACAAAUUUGCAAUCCUCCUGCCUCAGCCUCUCUAGUAACUGGGAUUACAGGCCUAUGCCACCAUGACUUGUUUUGAUUUUUUUCUGUCAAUUCAGAUUCUUUAAACAUCAGUGAUUUAAGCCGAACAUGGUAGUACAUGCCUGGAAUCCCAGGUGCUCAGGAGGCUGAGGCAGGAGGAUGGUGGGUUCAAAGCCAGCCUCAGCAAAAGUAAGGCACUAAGCAACUCCGUGAGUCCCUGUCUCUAAAUAAAAUAUAAAAUAGAACUGGGAAUGUAGCUCAGGGGUUGAGUGCCCCUGAGCUCAAUCCCUAGUACCAAAAAACAAAAGCAAAGACAAACAAACAAAAACACCCGAAUCAGUGACUUAGCCAGGUGUGGUGGCACAUGCCUAUAAUUCCAGCAACUUGGAAGGCUGAGAGAAUCACAAGUUCAAAGCCAGCCUCAGCCAUUUAGCAAGGCCCCAAGCAAUUUAGUGAGACCCUGUCGCUAAAUAAAAUUUUAAAAGGGCUGGGGAUGUGCUCAGUAUGUUGGUUUUUUUUUUUUCAAAAAAAAUUUUUUUCCAACAAAAAGGAAAAAAAAAUCAGUGACUCUUUAGAGUUAAUUAGCUCUGUGUUAACUGGCUUGAGUCCUCUGUUGACAACAGCCCAUGACAAUCUAGAAAGUAUGAUUUCUAUAAGGUCUUCAUCCCUGAUCCCUGAAACUGAACAGAAGGACAUCCUUCUUUCCACAGGCAAUAAAGCUGUUGGUGUGGUGAAGAAAGAAGUUUAGAUGGGAAGGUCCAUGGACACGUAGAAUCUGGAAUUAAUCAGGAAAGGACAAUUGAGUAAUGAUGGAGAAGUGGCUGCUUUGCAGCUGUCAAAGUCAUGCCUGGAGAGAAUGUUGGAUGAUGUGAGAGUAUUCACAAUGUAGUGCUCAAAGAAGACAGUUGAUUAUGGGACAGAAGGUAAGAAGCAUCCCCACCCUCCCCACACAGGAGUCUGUGUGGCUGCCAAGGAGUGUAGGGAGGGCAGCCCCACCCCACCCGCAUUGGCAUGCACCCCCCAAGGGGGGUGACCACAGCUGCCAGGCUCUGAGUCAGUGGGGCCUGGGGCAGCGGGGAGGGAAAGGGGCCUCACGUGGCUGGGCCCACACUGCCUUGUGGAGCCUCUGGCUGUCAGCCCUGCAGGAAGCGUGGCUGUUUGAAAGGACGAAUCACAUAUAGCCUAGUCCUCCUGGGGCCCAGCCAAGGCCACUUCCCUGAAAGGAGGGAUGCAUGGGGGAGGAGGGGUGUUCCUGUGUUGAAAAUGGGAGUACCAGGAAAGAAGGCCAUCCAAUCCAAUCCUGGAGUGGAAGGCAGCUCCCAGGGUUGAGUUGUAGAGAAUUAGCUGAGUUGGGGUUGGGGAAGGGUUAAUGACCUUCCAGAGAUCUGUGGGAAAGGGACUGAGUCAGAUUUGUGGUAACCAUGACCGGAUAUGGGAGAAGGAGACACACAAGGGAAGUGCAAGGGGCAGGCUGAAAUCUAUUGAUAUGUACACGUCCCACAUACCACGUGCAAUAUCAGGAAAGUUACUUAAUCUCACUGGGCCCCUACUUCCUCAUCUGUAAAAUGGGGAUAAUAAAGACUGUAUUUCAAAGGGUUGCAAACUGGAUCUAAUGAUUUGGUGUAAGUAAAGCACUCAGAACAGGGCCUGCCGACAAGUGCCACAGGAGAGUCUGCUACAGCUGUUACUACGCACGAAGGGCCAGUGUAGAAACUAAAAGGAAAUCAGGAUGGUUAAAAGGAACAGCCUAAUCAAUUUAAUUAAAGGGGCUGUUGUGGAGGGUCCCUCCCCUUCCUGCACAUGAACAGGUCCCUGGGUAUGGGUUAUAGGAGAAAGCCCACCUAUAGUGUGCAGGAGGCAGGCAGCGUGGGCUCCAGUCUGGGUAGAAGCUACGGAUGGAUGUUUGGGGGAGACAGAGGAUGGGAAAACUGUGUGAGAGACCUGUAGGAGGCUCUUAGCACAUGGUGGUGCCAACUCUGAGAUGGCUCAAGGAGGUGGGGUAGAGGGAGGGACAAGUCUUGUCUGACUUUUGGGCAGCCAAAAUCCACCCAAUAUUCAGCCUGUCUUGAUUCUCAAAAAAGCACCCCUCCUCCUCUUAGUUUCUCAUAGUUUCUGCCUUGCUCUUUGAGAAAUGCUAGUCACCUUUAACACGGAGUCAGUCAAAAAGUCUACUGCCUGGCCAGGCACGACAGCGCACACUUGUAGUCCCAGUGGCUCGGGAGGCUGAGACAGGAGGAUGGCAAGUUCAAAGCCAGCUUUAGCAACAGCAAGGUGCUAAGCAACUCAAUGAAACCCUGUCUCUAAAUAAAAUACAAAAUAGGGCUGGGGAUGUGGCUCAGUGGCCAAGUGCCAGGGUGCAACCCCCAGUACCAAAAAAAAGAAAAAGAAAAAGAACUAACAGGGCUGCCAGGUGGGGGUGCACACCUGUAAUUGCAGCAACUCG
rnacentral:lncRNA from 1 species